rnacentral:rRNA from 1 species
UACGUAGGCAGCGAGCGUUGUUCGGAGUUACUGGGCGUAAAGGGUGCGUAGGCGGUUGUUUAAGUUUGGUGUGAAAUCUCCCGGCUCAACUGGGAGGGUGCGCCGAAUACUGAAUGACUAGAGUGCGGGAGAGGAGAGUGGAAUUCCUGGUGUAGCGGUGAAAUGUGUAGAUAUCAGGAGGAACACCGGUGGUGUAGACGGCUCUCUGGACCGUAACUGACGCUGAGGCACGAAAGCGUGGGUAGCAAACAGG